GUAGGUGGCAAGCGUUGUCCGGAAUUAUUGGGCGUAAAGCGCGCGCAGGCGGUUCUUUAAGUCUGAUGUGAAAGCCCACGGCUCAACCGUGGAGGGUCAUUGGAAACUGGAGAACUUGAGUACAGAAGAGGAAAGCGGAAUUCCACGUGUAGCGGUGAAAUGCGUAGAGAUGUGGAGGAACACCAGUGGCGAAGGCGGCUUUCUGGUCUGUAACUGACGCUGAGGCGCGAAAGCGUGGGGGAGCAAACAGGAUUAGAUACCCUGGUAGUCCACGCCGUAGACGAUGAGUGCUAAGUGUUAGGGGGUUUCCGCCCCCCCCUUAGUGCUGCAGCUAACGCAUUAAGCACUCCGCCUGGGGAGUACGGCCGCAAGGCUG
rnacentral:rRNA from 1 species